UGAUGUACCGGUAGUUGUUUUCAUUUCUCCAGAAUCUACACACGACAAAAGAUGGACUCCAUGAGACAUCUAUGCAGGUCUUGGCCAAAGGUGUAGGCGACCUAUUUGCUACUUUGCUUCAAGAAAAUAUUACACCAAUUUAAUUGGUUUAUUGUCCUUAUAAAGUUACUGAGUUUGCUCAGAUUAGGUUUCAAGAUGAACCACUAGCUGUCGAGCUACAUUUAGCUCGCGAGUUUUGUCAUGAUAGCAAGCUAACCAGCUAUCUCUUGAUAUCUUAAAUUAGUUUGGUUGGUUCAGUGAGUAACAUCGUUGGCUUCAGACUUGAGGACUGGGGUUAGAAUCCCUUUCAGGGUGAAUGAUAACAUUUGGGACAACAGUUGGGAUUUUGGGCAAGUUUGAUUAUGCAAUAUGCCAAUUUCCAACUAUUGCUAGUCCCAAACUCU